rnacentral:rRNA from 1 species
GAGGCAGCAGUGAGGAAUAUUGGUCAAUGGGCGAGAGCCUGAACCAGCCAAGUAGCGUGAAGGAUGAAGGUUCUAUGGAUUGUAAACUUCUUUUAUAAGGGAAUAACGGACACUACGUGUAGUGUUUUGCAUGUACCUUAUGAAUAAGCAUCGGCUAACUCCGUGCCAGCAGCCGCGGUAAUACGGAGGAUGCGAGCGUUAUCCGGAUUUAUUGGGUUUAAAGGGAGCGUAGGCGG